GUUAGCAUGGUAUAGGGAUUUGAACAUUGGACUAGGAUUCUGAAGACCAGGGUUCAAAUCCCAUGUAAACC